CUGAAAUGAGGUUUUCUGAAGAUUUACUCCUUCAGAAAUACAGUGUUAUGAUACCCGGUGUUACAAUUGCAAAGAGAUGGAGACACUCUUGUAUUGGAAGCCUCAAAGAAUGACACACAACCAGGUAUUACCCAGCUGAAGCAAGCAAAAUCUAGAAGAUUUCUGUACUCCUUUGGCAGUUGGAAUAAUCUGCACUGGUAAAUGCUCAACUUGAUUGGUAAUGCCAUUAAAAACUGUUCAUCACUUACAUGCAGAAGUUGCCUGAUAGUUGUACUUCACUGAGAGUUACUUCCAUCUUUACACAUAAAUCCAGUUUUUGGGUUAUUUUGGGGAGUUGGUCGGCUAUAGUAGAUACACUGCUACCUGUGUUUCAGACACUUCUGUAUCUGCACACAUUCCUUGCAUCACUUCGUGUCUUUUAUUGGGAGAUGAAGACUUGGAAUUUGCGGUCAUUCUUCUGGAGGUAG
rnacentral:lncRNA from 1 species